rnacentral:ncRNA from 2 species
GGGCCAUGCCAGCAUAGUAGAGGUUUUACUUAAGAUUGCUAUGCAGAACCAAAUCAACACAAACCCAGAGAGUCCUGACACUGUGACAAUACAUGCUGCAACACCACAGUUUAUCAUUGGACCUGGAGGGGUGGUGAACCUAACAGGUCUGGUAUCUUCAGAAAAUUCAUCCAAGGCAACAGGUAUUGAGAUGCAUAUAGGAUAGGCUUUGGGAUUUUAUGCUUUAGUAGGUAUUCAUCCUUGUAAGAAAGGACGGUUGGAGAAUGAGGGUAAGAUUCUAUCAGCCACCU